UAACACUUAGCAACCAGUGAUUACAGAAUUCAGAACGAACAAUUAUGGUACAUAUCACAUAAGGAUAUGGUAGAAGUUAUAUUAGUCUAUCAUGGCUAUGGAACUAUAAAUCUGAAGAUUUAAUAUGACAGAUGCAAGCACAACUGAAAGCAAAAUUGCUCAACUAGUUAUAAGUAACAGAAGAUCCAGCAAAUUGAUUUAGAAAACUCAAAAAACCAUAAUAGAACACGAGCUUCAUUUUGAGUUUGAAAUAUCACAAGUCUCAAAUAGCUACCCAGGAAGCUCAUAAACCCAUCCCAAGUAUCAAUUAAAAGUGGUUUUGUACAAUGCUAAAUAAAGAGCAAAAAGUGGGUUCUUCACUUGCUUUUGCUCAAACCUAAAUGAGCGUCACAAUCAUAAUGAAAGUCUAGAUGCUUUCUUUUCCAAACUUUAAACUGCAUUUGCCACAAAGCAAACAUGUUCUUGAUCCAAAACCACGAACUGUCUUUUCUUUUUCUUUUUACACCAGACGAACAUUUGAAUACCACAGUAUCCAUCAUCAAUCACAACAAAAAUUAGAAAGAAUAUGAUCAUCAUUGGAUAUGGGCAAUGGGGUUAUUAUCCAACCAAGAAAAUCAAUGAUCCCUUGAAGGCAUCUUCAAUAGUUUUAAACAAACCCAAAGAUUAUUAGCCAAAGAGCCUUAAAAAGCAAACAAGACUAAAUUGGGGGGAAAAGAAACAACAAAAACAUAAAACAAAACAGAUCUGAAAUAGAGAGACAGACCUUCUUGUGAGGAUCCAUAGUGGCAGGUGUAGGGGCAAUAGGGAAUUGGAUUCUUUUGGGUACCCUGAUGAGCUUUAAGCCAGAGAAAUCAAAGUCUUCAACAAUUGUAAGCUGCUGUAGAUGUUGGCCUUCAUGGCUGCUGCUGCUACUACUAAUAUUGAUAUUGUUGCUCUUCUUGUUGUUAGAAUCAAAAUUAUUGUUGUUGUUGUUAUUAUUAUUAUUACUAUUAUUAGUAAAAGAAUGGCGUUGAAACCAGCGACGCACACCGUCCACGAGUGUACUACUUCCCCCCAUAUAACUCUCUCUCUCUCUCUUUCUCUCACUCACUUCUCAGCCUUUUGUUCUUUCUUUUUAUUCACAGCCAAUCAAUUCCAGCGUUCCUCGCUUUCUCUCUCCUAUUUUCUCUCCAUAUUUGCCAUCUAAUUUGCUUAUGGGUACCUUGUUUUUCUUCUUUUCCUUCUCCCUUCUGUAUUAAUUUUAUUUUAUUUUCUUUCUUUCUCCGAUGCUUGCGGAGGUGAGAGAUGAGGAGAGGAGGAGAGAUUUGGGAUUGAGACACAAGACAGAAGGUGUUGCGUUGGAGAUUUUUGUGUUUUGUUUUUGUUUAGUGUUGCGUGGACGUUAUUAUAGUGCUGUGUGUGAAUGCAAUUAUUAUAUGUAACUCGGUUUGACCGCUGUCAUCUUUUUUAAUAUCACUUACCAUUAUUAUUUUCAUAAUAUUCAAAAUUUUAUUUUUAUUUCAAUUUAUAUAUUUUAUUUAAUUUAUAAUUAAUAUAAAUUUAAAAUAUAUUUAAAAAUAAGAUAAUAUAAUAAAAUUAUAGUGUCAAAGAAUUAUUAUUAGAUAUUAUGAAAACAGUAUAGUAUAUAUUGAUUUCAGUAAGAGAAAUUGACAAUUUCCAUUUAAUUUUUAACAAUAUUUUUAUAGUUUACAAUAGCUUAUAAAGAGCAAAAAGUGGGUUCUUCACUUGCUUUUGCUCAAACCUAAAUGAGCGUCACAAUCAUAAUGAAAGUCUAGAUGCUUUCUUUUCCAAACUUUAAACUGCAUUUGCCACAAAGCAAACAUGUUCUUGAUCCAAAACCACGAACUGUCUUUUCUUUUUCUUUUUACACCAGACGAACAUUUGAAUACCACAGUAUCCAUCAUCAAUCACAACAAAAAUUAGAAAGAAUAUGAUCAUCAUUGGAUAUGGGCAAUGGGGUUAUUAUCCAACCAAGAAAAUCAAUGAUCCCUUGAAGGCAUCUUCAAUAGUUUUAAACAAACCCAAAGAUUAUUAGCCAAAGAGCCUUAAAAAGCAAACAAGACUAAAUUGGGGGGAAAAGAAACAACAAAAACAUAAAACAAAACAGAUCUGAAAUAGAGAGACAGACCUUCUUGUGAGGAUCCAUAGUGGCAGGUGUAGGGGCAAUAGGGAAUUGGAUUCUUUUGGGUACCCUGAUGAGCUUUAAGCCAGAGAAAUCAAAGUCUUCAACAAUUGUAAGCUGCUGUAGAUGUUGGCCUUCAUGGCUGCUGCUGCUACUACUAAUAUUGAUAUUGUUGCUCUUCUUGUUGUUAGAAUCAAAAUUAUUGUUGUUGUUGUUAUUAUUAUUAUUACUAUUAUUAGUAAAAGAAUGGCGUUGAAACCAGCGACGCACACCGUCCACGAGUGUACUACUUCCCCCCAUAUAACUCUCUCUCUCUCUCUUUCUCUCACUCACUUCUCAGCCUUUUGUUCUUUCUUUUUAUUCACAGCCAAUCAAUUCCAGCGUUCCUCGCUUUCUCUCUCCUAUUUUCUCUCCAUAUUUGCCAUCUAAUUUGCUUAUGGGUACCUUGUUUUUCUUCUUUUCCUUCUCCCUUCUGUAUUAAUUUUAUUUUAUUUUCUUUCUUUCUCCGAUGCUUGCGGAGGUGAGAGAUGAGGAGAGGAGGAGAGAUUUGGGAUUGAGACACAAGACAGAAGGUGUUGCGUUGGAGAUUUUUGUGUUUUGUUUUUGUUUAGUGUUGCGUGGACGUUAUUAUAGUGCUGUGUGUGAAUGCAAUUAUUAUAUGUAACUCGGUUUGACCGCUGUCAUCUUUUUUAAUAUCACU
rnacentral:lncRNA from 1 species